rnacentral:rRNA from 1 species
GACGAACGCUGGCGGCGUGCUUAACACAUGCAAGUCGAACGGUUGGCACUGGAAGGUUCGCUGGAAGGUGUCGAUAGUGGCGGACGGGUGAGUAACGCGUGAGGACAUGGCUCCAGGAGGGGGAUAACGUUUGGAAACGGACGCUAAGACCCCAUAUGCCGGAAGGUGAAAAUGGCGUAAGCCAGCCUGUAGAGUGACUCGCGUCCUAUCAGCUAGUUGGUGGGGU